rnacentral:rRNA from 1 species
UGAAUGCCCUGGUACUAGGAGCCGAUGAAGGCCGGGACGAACACCGAUAUGCUUUGGGGAGCUGUAAGUAAGCUGAGAUCCAAAGAUUUCCGAAUGUGGCAACCUAUCAUCUUUAGUCGGAUGAUAUGUCUCUAGUGAACACAUAGCUAGAGCCAGGGAACACUCGGUGAACUGAAACAUCUCAGUAGCAGUAGGAAGAGAAAGCAAAAGCGAUUCCCAAAGUAGCGGCGAGCGAAAUGGGACGAGGCCAAACUAUCAUGCUUGCAUGAUAGGGUUGUAGGACUCACAUACGGGACAAGAUCUGUUAGCCGAACACGUUGGAAAGCGUGGCCAGAGAAGGUGAAAGCCCUGUAGGCGACAACAGCUAUUGCCCAGUGAGGAUCCUGAGUACGGCGGUACACGA